rnacentral:rRNA from 1 species
CCUACGGGAGGCAGCAGUGAGGAAUUUUCCGCAAUGGGCGAAAGCCUGACGGAGCAAUACCGCGUGAGGGAUGAAGGAUUUUGGUCUGUAAACCUCUUUUCUCAAGAAAGAAGUUCUGACGGUACUUGAGGAAUAAGCAUCGGCUAACUCCGUGCCAGCAGCCGCGGUAAUACGGGGGAUGCAAGCGUUAUCCGGAAUGAUUGGGCGUAAAGCGCCUGUAGGUUGUUUAUUAAGUCCGUUGUUAAAGCCUAGGGCUCAACCCUAGAAAAGCAAUGGAAACUAGUAGACUAGAGUAUGGCAGGGGUAGAGGGAAUUUCUAGUGUAGCGGUGAAAUGCGUAGAUAUUAGAAAGAACACCGGUGGCGAAAGCGCUCUACUGGACCAUUACUGACACUCAGAGGCGAAAGCUAGGGUAGCAAAAGGGAUUAGAUACCCCUGUAGUCCUAGCCGUAAACGAUGGAUACUAGAUGUUGUGCAUUAUGUACAGUAUCGUAGCUAACGCGUUAAGUAUCCGCCUGGGGAGUACGCUCGCAAGGGUGAAACUCAAGGAAUUGACGGCNGNGAGNGCGAGACGACGACGAGGAGAG